AGUGAACGCUGGCGGUAGGCCUAACACAUGCGAGUCGAACGGCAGCACAGUAAGAGCUUGCUCUUACGGGUGGCGAGUGGCGGACGGGUGAGGAAUACAUCGGAAUCUACUUUUUCGUGGGGGAUAACGUAGGGAAACUUACGCUAAUACCGCAUACGACCUACGGGUGAAAGCAGGGGAUCUUCGGACCUUGCGCGAUUGAAUGAGCCGAUGUCGGAUUAGCUAGUUGGCGGGGUAAAGGCCCACCAAGGCGACGAUCCGUAGCUGGUCUGAGAGGAUGAUAAGCCCCACUGGAACUGAGACACGGUCCAGACCCCUACGGGAGGCAGCAUGGGGGAAUUUUGGAAAAGGGGCGCAAGCCUGAUCCAGCCAUACCGCGUGGGUGAAGAAGGCCUUCGGGUUUUAAAGCCCUUUUGUUGGGAAAAAAAAGCAGCAGGUUAAAACCCCGCUGUUCUGACGGUACCAAAAGAAUAAGCACCGGCUAACUUCGU
rnacentral:rRNA from 1 species